rnacentral:misc_RNA from 1 species
GAUGAAGAACGUAGCGAAACGCGAUAUGUAAUGUGAAUUGCAGAAUUCAGUGAAUCAUCGAAUCUUUGAACGCACAUUGCGCCCGCCAGCACUCUGGCGGGCAUGCCUGUUCGAGCGUCAUUUCAACCAUCAAGCCCCCAGGGGCUUGUGCUGGGGCCCUGCGGCUGCCCGCAGGCCCUGAAAACCAGUGGCGGGCUCGCUAGUCACACCGAGCGCAGUAGCACAUCUCGCUCAGGGCGUGCGGCGGGCUCCUGCCGUGAAACCCCCCACUGUAACCCCAAAGGUUGACCUCGGAUCAGGUAGGAAUACCCGCUGAACUUAAGCAUAUCAAUAAGCGGAGGA